rnacentral:rRNA from 1 species
UACGGAGGGGGCUAGCGUUGUUCGGAAUUACUGGGCGUAAAGCGCGCGUAGGCGGCUUUGUAAGUUAGAGGUGAAAGCCCGGAGCUCAACUCCGGAAUUGCCUUUAAGACUGCAUCGCUAGAAUCAUGGAGAGGUUAGUGGAAUUCCGAGUGUAGAGGUGAAAUUCGUAGAUAUUCGGAAGAACACCAGUGGCGAAGGCGACUGACUGGACAAGUAUUGACGCUGAGGUGCGAAAGCGUGGGGAGCAAACAGG